rnacentral:lncRNA from 1 species
CUGCUCUUCUGAUUGUUUUCUGUCAGCUCAGAGAGAGUAACUUGUGGUGUCCACAUUGAGCCCCCAGUUUAUGGCAUUAUUGCUCAGGGACUGUAAACAGGAUUCACCAGAAGUCAGAUGUGUCUCCAUGGGCCCAACAAAAAACAAAAAACAGGAGUUUUGUGCAGGCUUAGAUAAAUAUCAUUCAAAUCAUGGAGUCUGAUUCGUGAGUCAGGACCAUGGCAGCCCUCCAAAACCUCCUGCCCAUGGAGUGUGUUUGUGUGAGAGGGAGAGAGAGUUUCACUGCGUGAAGAGUAAGAAACUGGAAGCCAAGUGAAUUAAAUACAAAGCAGAUAAUUAUGUGUAAUUCAUUUACUGACUAAUGAUUGCACCUUGGUAUGGAGGUUCAUGAAUUUGACUCUGCAAGGUUCUCAAGAACAAUCUCCUUGCUACAAGAUAAGAGCUGGCUGACUUGUUAACAGACCAGUGUUUACAUUAGUGUUAUUGUAAGAUUCUGCCUUUUUGGCUCAUUUCACGUUUUACCUCAUGGCCAUUCACUUUUCCUGGGUUCAUCUGGUGUCUCUGACAGUUUCAAUAGCUCAGUGCUGGUCAAGGC